rnacentral:lncRNA from 7 species
AGUUAAUUAGUGGUGCUGCUUUUGAAGCAGGACAAGCAACAGAGUCUUGCAGUGAAAAACAGCUCAUCUCCAUCACAAAAGGCCACUUUAAUUGCCAGUGCUGACUGUGGCCAAGGAAGGAAUGGAGAUUCCAUGAGAGAAGGGUUUUCCCUACGGUAAAUACUGUCCCCUUGCUAGGUAGCUGAUUAAAAUAGGAGAAUAAGCCAGAAACCCCGCAGUCUGCUGUGUAUCAUCAGAGGAAAAGGCAAGAACAUGGCAGACGGCUGCAAAAGUGUUUUCUCCCUGGAAAACAGUCACUGCUUCUCCUGCAGUAUGCUUAGCCAGCAGCGGCCAAGAGCCAGAGCUGCCUGCUGCCCAUUCCUUCCCCUGAGCAACCUUUUUGGCUCUCAGAAAUGAAAAAAGCAAAGUAAAACCAACUGAACCCCUUGGCUGUCUUGGAAAUUGAAAUGAUGAGUUCCUCUCUGUGACAUGCUUGUUCCAAGCUGCAGAUUGUGCACGUGUGAUUGGUGGUAUCAUCAUUCUCAGCUUAAAGACUGCACACAUUUUACAGCAGGUGAGCAUCUGUGUCUCUUACAGCCCAUGUUAAAUAUGUAGAUACACUGCUAAAUACCUCCAGUAUGCCGAAAUACGUACAGUGCUCUGCCCAGAAAACUUUCCCUCAUCCAAGGGAUGAGCUUAGGCCGCAGAGCUCCUGCUGGGACCUCUCUGAGCUGUGAGUCUUCAGGCAAGAUGCCAAAUGUGCCUGCAGAUACCGGUGCUACAAGUAAAAAAUCACUGGAGCAUGCAAGCUGCUCUCUAUGCUACCUCUUACAGAAUUGCUGUGGUCCUUUCUGAACACUGUCAUUGCUUUCUUGCUAUCUUCCUCUCAAUAUAUGAAAGAGCUGCUGACAAGGAUCUCUGUACUUCCUCCUCUAACCUUUUUACCUUUCAAUUCACCAAAUCCCACCAGCAGUUUUUUAAUCUUUUUCAUCAAAUUCAAAAACCUGUCUUCACAUUGUCUGGGCUAUCUAUAAUGUGACCCAUGCAUCUCUAUUUUAAUUUGCUUGAAAAUCCUAUUUCUUUCUGGCUUUCCAUUAUCAUCCUUGUUCUCUCACCCUGCUCCUCCCUUCAUCUCCCCCCCCUUUUUUUUUUCUAUUUUUAGGUUUUGAAUUUCUUUCUCAUCAAAACCCAUUUUUUUUUUUUUUUUUUUUUUUACUGAUCAGAGGAAUCUCUUCCCCCAUAAAGUCUUUCCUUUAAUUGAUCUCACAUGUAGUUAACUGAGAUUUUUCUAUGCUUUUCCAGUCAAAGCCAUUUGUAUUAUGGGCUUCUUACAAGCCUCAUUCUCUGGAGGAAAAUAACAGUUUUCCUCCAUUUCUGAGUUUAAUACUGAUUUGGCUGCAACUCAUUCAGGGGAAGAAGACUUUGGCAAGAUGAAGUUUGGCCAUACAGAGGAAAAAAAGAGCAGACUGUGCCAAAGCAUAAACAGAAUGGUGGAAUUUCCCAGCAUUUUUCAUGGGCUACUGGUUAGACCAAGAGCUGAAUGUCUGAAUUAAAUUUUAUAAUACUGUCCACUCCCCAAGUGGACACAUAUCGAGUGUAUAAUCCGGAUGCGUAUCGGUUCCUCGUUUGAAUAGCCUCAAAUAAUUGUGCUGGAGAGGAGCCUUGUUUUAGUUUGAACUUUUAACACUGCGGGUUUGGGAAGCAGCAGUCAGCCACUGUAAAAUUGGUCGAUUGCUUUCCCUCACUGAAGAAAUCAAUGGUAUUUUAAGAGUAAACUGCUC